rnacentral:rRNA from 1 species
UACGGAGGGUGCAAGCGUUAUCCGGAUUCACUGGGUUUAAAGGGUGCGUAGGAGGGCAGGUAAGUCAGUGGUGAAAUCUCCGAGCUUAACUUGGAACUGCCGUUGAUACUAUCUGUCUUGAAUACCGUGGAGGUGAGCGGAAUAUGUCAUGUAGCGGUGAAAUGCUUAGAUAUGACAUAGAACACCAAUUGCGAAGGCAGCUCACUACACGAGCAUUGACUCUGAGGCACGAAAGCGUGGGGGAUCAAACAGG